rfam:Echinostoma caproni strain Egypt genome assembly, scaffold: ECPE_scaffold0003704
GCACUACUGACGAGUCCCCCAAACAGGACGAAACAGCUUUCCAGUGC